AGGGGGGGUGCCCGCUCUCGAGCCUGCCUGCCGUCGCAGCGGGGAACCCGGCUGAUCCCGAGCUCCGUGAGCCUCCCCUCCUCCGGGGAGCCACGCCUGGGGCCUUGGCGGAGACAACCACU